ACCAACAGGGGCGGCGCUACAGGGGGUGUGUGGGGGGGUGGAACACCCCCCCACUCGUCAGCUAAUCGGCAAAUUGUUGUCUCAGUCGGCAAAAGUGGAUUGGGCAGUCGGAAAAUAUUCGAUCAACAGUCGGGCGAUUUUGGUUUGCAAUAAAAAAAAAUCGGACAAAUUAUGUCAAUUUUGUCUAAAAUUAAGUUAAUUUUUUGGAAAAUUUUGUGAUUUUUCGAAAAUAUGUGUUAUGUUACGAAAAAUAUUGGUUGUCCGGAAAAUUUUUUUGACCCCUAAAAUGGUACACUGACCGAAAUUUUUUUGGCGACGGGGGGGGUGAGGUCGGCAAAAUAAUUUGUCCGGAAAAAAUUUUUUGACUCGGCAAAAUUACCAAACAACAGUCGGCAAAAGAUCACUCACACCCCCCCACUCGAAGAGGGUUAGCG